CAGUAGCCGCGGUAAUACAGAAGAUGCAAGCGUUAUCCGGAAUGAUUGGGCGUAAAGCGUCUGUAGGUGGCUUUUCAAGUCCACCGUCAAAUCCCAGGGCUCAACCCUGGACAGGCGGUGGAAACUACCAAGUUAGAGUACGGUAGGGGCAGAGGGAAUUUCCGGUGGAGCAGUGAAAUGCGUUGAGAUUGGAAAGAACACCAACGGCGAAAGCACUCUGCUGGGCCGACACUGACACUGAGAGACGAAAGCUAGGGGAGCAAAUGGGAUUAGAUACCCCCGUAGUCCCUGUCUCUUAUAC
rnacentral:rRNA from 1 species